rnacentral:lncRNA from 1 species
GGCAUUCAAGAAACCAAUUCACAUGGAUGAUUCUUACUUCAUCCAUUUGUUGCUUAGGAUGACAUGAGGAUACACAUAAUCUCAAUAACCUUAAGAAGCAUGCUUUUAAAGGUGAUCAAUCAAAGAAAAACAUACAUCAAUGAUAGAUUAUUUUAGUGAAUCAAUAUCUAGAAAUUCAUACACUCAAGCAUCAAAACAAUAGAGUAUUCAUGUUUAGGGCUUCAACCUAAGCCCCAGCUAUGGAGUUUAGUUCCUCAUACUUAUUUCAAAUACAAAUUUAAAACAAAACUAGAAAGAGUUUACAGAUUUUGUGAAAGUGAUGGAAGCUCAAGGUCUUCAAUGGUGAAAAUCUUCUUCACUUCUUGCUUGGUUGCACCUUCUUCCUUCUCCCAAGCUCCCCAGCUCCCGAAAUCUCUGCAAAAUUGAAUGAAUGAUUUCAAGAAUGGCUGAUGCCUUCUUUGCUCCCUUCUCUCCUCCUUUCCAACUCAUUCUUCAAUAUAAAACUCCACCUUUUGUUAAAGCCUUUAGCAUUGUGUCCUCCUUGUCUCCUUGUCAUGCUGAAGUUUUGUUUUUAAAUAUAUUCCAAGGCUACCUUUGACUCAGAAAAUCCCACUUCAAUAAGGUAUUCAUUGUUACCAAAUGGUAUGGUAACAAGUAGAAAUAAGAUGACAUCAA